GACGAACGCUGGCGGCGUGCCUAAUACAUGCAAGUAGAACGCUGAAGAGAGGAGCUUGCUCUUCUUGGAUGAGUUGCGAACGGGUGAGUAACGCGUAGGUAACCUGCCUUGUAGCGGGGGAUAACUAUUGGAAACGAUACCUAAUACCGCAUAACAAUGGAUGACACAUGUCAUUUAUUUGAAAGGGGCAAUUGCUCCACUACAAGAUGGACCUGCGUUGUAUUAGCUAGUAGGUGAGGUAAUGGCUCACCUAGGCGACGAUACAUAGCCGACCUGAGAGGGUGAUCGGCCACACUGGGACUGAGACACGGCCCAGACUCCUACGGGAGGCAGCAGUAGGGAAUCUUCGGCAAUGGGGGCAACCCUGACCGAGCAACGCCGCGUGAGUGAAGAAGGUUUUCGGAUCGUAAAGCUCUGUUGUAAGUCAAGAACGGGUGUGAGAGUGGAAAGUUCACACUGUGACGGUAGCUUACCAGAAAGGGACGGCUAACUACGUG
rnacentral:rRNA from 1 species